GAUGAACGCUGGCGGCGUGCCUAAUACAUGCAAGUCGAGCGAAUGGAUUAAGAGCUUGCUCUUAUGAAGUUAGCGGCGGACGGGUGAGUAACACGUGGGUAACCUGCCCAUAAGACUGGGAUAACUCCGGGAAACCGGGGCUAAUACCGGAUAACAUUUUGAACCGCAUGGUUCGAAAUUGAAAGGCGGCUUCGGCUGUCACUUAUGGAUGGACCCGCGUCGCAUUAGCUAGUUGGUGAGGUAACGGCUCACCAAGGCAACGAUGCGUAGCCGACUUGAGAGGGUGAUCGGCCACACUGGGACUGAGACCCGGCCCCGACUCCUACUGGAGGUAGCAGUAGGGAAUCUUCCGCAAUGGACGAAAGUCUGACGGAGCAACGCCGCGUGAGUGAUGAAGGCUUUCGGGUCGUAAAACUCUAUUGUUAGGGAAGAACAAGUGCUAGUUGAAUAAGCUGGCACCUUGACGGUACCUAACCAGAAAGCCACGGCUAACUGCGUGCCAGCCGCCGCCGUAA
rnacentral:rRNA from 1 species